rnacentral:pre_miRNA from 2 species
CCUAAGUUAUAAGCGGAUGGUCAGUUUAGUCCCCGUUUUUAACAACUGCUACAUCAUGAACAUCAAAAAAUGACUCAUUUGAUACAUUUUUUAUAACUUAGGAACCAAAGGUUUACAUUUUUAAAAACGGAGACUAAACUGAACAUCCGCUCAUAACUUAGGAAC